AUUGAACGCUAGCGGCAGGCUUAACACAUGCAAGUCGAGCGGAGACUUCGGUCUUAGCGGCGAACGGGUGAGUAAUACCUAGGAAUCUGCCUAUUAGUGGGGGAUAACGAAUCGAAAGGUUCGCUAAUACCGCAUACGUCCUACGGGAGAAAGGGGGGGAUCUUCGGACCUCUCGCUAAUAGAUGAGCCUAGGCCGGAUUAGCUAGUUGGUAGGGUAAAGGCCUACCAAGGCGACGAUCUGUAGCUGGUCUGAGAGGAUGGCCAGCCACACUGGAACUGAGACACGGUCCAGACUCCUACGGGAGGCAGCAGUGGGGAAUAUUGGACAAUGGGGGAAACCCUGAUCCAGCAAUGCCGCGUGUGUGAAGAAGGCCUGCGGGUUGCAAAGCACUUUUGGCAGGGAAGAAAAGCACUGGCCUAAUACACCAGUGUGUUGACGUAACCUGCAGAAGAAGCACCGGCUAACUCUGUGCCAGCAGCCGCGGUAAU
rnacentral:rRNA from 1 species